AACUGAUACUACCUGCGGGAACCUGCGGAAGGAUCAUUACUGGGUUUUUGGGCUCUGCCCGCCACCCGCCCUCUGUUAUUCGUGACUAUUGUUUCGGCCAGUGGGGGCGACCCCCGGCCGGCAGUAACUCUGAAGCAUCUUGAAGUCUGAUAAACUGUCAAUAAAAAAAACUUUUAACAACGGAUCUCU
rnacentral:misc_RNA from 1 species